UACGUAGGGUGCGAGCGUUAAUCGGAAUUACUGGGCGUAAAGCGUGCGUAGGCGGUUCGUUAAGUUCGUUGUGAAAGCCCCGGGCUCAACCUGGGAAUGGCAAUGGAAACUGGCGGGCUGGAGUAUGGCAGAGGGGGGUGGAAUUCCGCGUGUAGCAGUGAAAUGCGCAGAUAUCAGGAGGAACACCGAUGGCGAAGGCAGGUCUCUGGGCCACUACUGACGCUGAGAAGCGAAAGCAUGGGGAGCGAACAGG
rnacentral:rRNA from 1 species